rnacentral:lncRNA from 1 species
GACAGAAAUCUUGAAACAUUAAAAUUAUCAUUAAAUGAUGGUGAGAAGGAAAGAAAUAUAAAAGUUAUGGUAAGAGAAAAAUAUGAGUAAUAUUUAACUCUUUCCAGAAAGGAUCCUCAAACCAAAGAACAUCCAUUUAGGCACUAUGGCUAGUGUUCAAACACACAAUAACCUCAAAAUAACACUUGCUGUCAAGCAGAAUUUGUAAAACUGAGCUGAAUAAUCAUGGAUUCAAAGGAAUUUAUUUCCUGACAUAUCAAAAUGGCCUUGUUUAAAUCAUGUAAUCGAGUCUAUAAUAAAAAUUUAAUCUUAAGGUUUUAUAGCUCAAAAAAAUCUGUAUUUUAAAUUUUUAGGCAGUUUCUUCUAAGGUGAACAAUGGUAUUUACCUUUUGGGUAGAACAUGACUUAUUUUUGGAAGUAUUGCUUGAGUAAUAUUAAGAAUUAGGAAAUAUCUACUUGCUGAUAUGAGAGUAUACAAAAAUGUUUGCUUGACAAGCUUCCGAGGGCUCUGUAAGAUUGUGGUGAUAUCAGAUAAUGCCCUUCCCAAAUGUGUCUGCUCAUCAAUGAAUUUACACACAUGCAUAACAGCUUCCUGGGAGCAGAAUGGCUUGUACCUGGUUCUGUCUCUGAGUGUUUCAAAGAUAUGGAAGCAUGUUUGAUGAAAGAUCAUGGAAUAGCAAAGAAAAAUAGCACCAAAAAGGCAAACAAGGCAGGGAAAGAUUCUAGACUAGUGAUUUGGGAUCAACACAGGACAGGAUGAUUAGAGAGAAUAGCUUCCUGUGCACACUAUGUAGUUUGAUGCAGAAGCCAUCCUGAUCCAGAUGCCCUGGUACUGUGGGGCGGGACCUUGGAAAAAUUACCCAGAGGAUGUGAAGUGAAAGUUUUGUUACACCAUUCUUCAGAGUGAAGGCAGUUUUCCUACAGAAACCUUCAAAAAAGGAGAUGCAUCCUUCCUUGUUCCUGGCAGUCUUGCAUUUGAGGAAAUCAGUAUGCUCCAACUUAGACUUAUCUUUUAGUCUCCAGAGGCAGAAAAAAAGCAGAAAAGGUUGUUGAAAUUCUUCACAUUGAUUUCAGGGCAAUGAUCUCAAACGGCGCAGUGGGAACCCGCAAAUUUAAGAGGGUAGUUUCCCUGCACAAGCCCUUUUUUUGCCUG